UACGGGGGGGGCAAGCGUUGUUCGGAAUUACUGGGCGUAAAGGGCUCGUAGGCGGCCAACUAAGUCAGACGUGAAAUCCCUCGGCUUAACCGGGGAACUGCGUCUGAUACUGGAUGGCUUGAGGUUGGGAGAGGGAUGCGGAAUUCCAGGUGUAGCGGUGAAAUGCGUAGAUAUCUGGAGGAACACCGGUGGCGAAGGCGGGUUGCUGGGCUGACACUGACGCUGACAGCGCGAAAGCUAGGGGAGCGAACGGG
rnacentral:rRNA from 1 species